GACAGGUGAAUGACACCAAUGAGAGCCAGCCGUCCCUCCCCCUAGGAGCCAGGCACUGAGUGACAGCCAGUAAGCAGCCAGAAAGAGCGUCUCUGAACCUGAAAGUAAUCUCUUUAACUCUCCCUCUUUCUCUUUUUCUCUGCCUCUCACUCCUUCUCCUUCUCUUUGGCCGCUUUUCUCGCUUCCUCUCUCUCAGCCUCUUUUCAGAAACUCUCGCUCUUUUUCUUUCUUUCUUUCUUUUUUCUCCAUGGGUAUUUUUCUUGUCCACUGAAGGCCUCUGUCUUUUUUCACUGUCUCUCCUCCUCCCCUCUCUUUCUGCCUUUCACUCUGUCUGUCACCGCUCUGUGCUGGUUUGUAUCACGGUGUCACCGGCUCUUAAGGAACAGCUUGACUGCCUCUUGGUUCUGUCUCCAUCAGAACUGGGGAGAAAAGUGUUUUAAAACCAGGUUGAAGUGGGCACAGGAUGUAUGAGAAUGUGUGUUUGUGUGUGUUUGUAGGUAAGGGAGGAAGAGAGGGAAACUGUUUCUCUACAAGGGUGAUUUACCCUGAGUCAAAAUGUUUAUUUCUGCCAUAAACCCUGCUGCGACCAGCUUCUCUUUUACGUCAUGUAAUUUAAACUCUUUUAGCUCAACAUUAAACUGUUCUACAAGCUCUGAGGUUCCUCUGCUAACUUAGUUAUUUCAGAUUUUAUUCACUACAUUCACAGGGCAUUUUCUUCAGUGGUAAUCUUCGCAGUCUUGGUCUUUCAAUGAGAAGGCCUUGUGAGUCAACCAAAAGUCUUAACAUUGUAGUCUAGUUUAAGUCAAUAAUGAGUCAUUACAUUAUGGUCAAAAUAUGUACUGUCUCCAAAGUGAGCUGACUAAUAGAUCAGAAACUGGUAUCAAGGCUUACAAAGUACUUAAAUCAGGGAUGUUUCACUCUCUUAUCAUUUUUAUGUUGCUGAAAUCUAGUCCUUUAAUGCCUGAAACCACAAAUUAUGGCCAGAAAAUUGAGAUUCUUUUGGAGCUGAAAUGUUUAUUUCACUUACUACUAAAAACAAAAAAAUCUAAAUGUCCUCAAAAUUUAACAAAUAUAUAUUUAUCUCAUGGGACACAUUAGAUGUUUUUGGAAACUGAUUAACCACAAGAAGACAUUUGAUCAUUUAUUGGACUGUAUUCAGGUGUUUUUUUCAGUAAUUUGUUGAUCACAUUGAUUUGACAGAAGUAUCAUAAAAGUAUCAAAUAUGAUACAAAAGGCAUUAAAGGGCUGGGUUUUUACCUCACGUUGAUUAUUUAGUUCAGAUUCUGUCACAAUGUGACACUGCUGUGCUAUCCUGCUGAUGUAUAAUGGUACUAUAGAGGAAUGAUUCUUAAUCAAAGUUCAGCCAAAUCUGUGCCCACUGUGGCUAUAUUUUUUCUUUUUUCUUUUCUAAGGUCAUUGAGUCUAAGAAACGCUCUUGAAUUCAAGUUGGACUCACUGGAGGAUGUGGUGGAGAGAUGUACUCAGAAGAAGGUGGAGACUAUUCUCAAGAACAUGGAUCACCCACUUCACAACACCUUGAUGGACCAAAGAGCCAAUGAUGGUGGACGGCUCCUCUCU
rnacentral:lncRNA from 1 species